UAGAGAAUCUGCCCUGUACUGGGGGACAACAGAGGGAAACUUCUGCUAAUACCCCAUAUGAGCGUACCUGCGAUGGUAUUCUUGAAAGUUCCGGCGGUACAGGAUGAGUCUGCAUCUGAUUAGCUAGUUGGUGGUGUAAUGGACUACCAAGGCGACGAUCAGUAGCUGGUUUGAGAGGAUGAUCAGCCACAAUGGGACUGAGACACGGCCCAUACUCCUACGGGAGGCAGCAG
rnacentral:rRNA from 1 species